UGAGGAACAUUGGGCAAUGCCCGCAAGGGUGACCCAGCAACGCCGCGUGGAGGAUGAAUGUCGUAAGAUUGUAAACUCCUGUUAGAGGGGAAGAAUAGUACCGGUUGGACCGGUAUAUGACUGUACCCUCAGAGAAAGCCCCGGCUAACUACGUGCCAGCAGCCGCGGUAAUACGUAGGGGGCAAGCGUUGUCCGGAUUUACUGGGUGUAAAGGGCGCGCAGGCGGGAUAAAAAGUCAGUGGUGAAAUCCUACAGCUUAACUGUAGAACCGCCUUUGAUACUUUCAUUCUUGAGUUCGGGAGAGAGAGACGGAAUUCCAGGUGUAGUGGUGAAAUACGUAGAUAUCUGGAAGAACACCAGUUGCGAAGGCGGUCUCUUGGUCCGAUACUGACGCUGAGGCGCGAAAGCGUGGGGAGCAAACA
rnacentral:rRNA from 1 species